rnacentral:lncRNA from 1 species
AGAGGACGUCAAGUAAAAAGGGAGGUUUCAUAAUAGUUACGCUGCCUGGGCCACAAGCAUCCAGCAGCGUGUCUGCAGUGAUGAAUAAAACUGUUCCUCCUGAGGAAAAUCUGUGCUUGAUGCUUUUUACAGGUUCCUCAGGGGAAGCUGCUCCUGAUCCGUGUUGGAACCGAGUAGCAUGAUCUGGAAAAAGCUGCACAUAAGUUACACUGUGGAAGUUCUGAUACUUGGGGGAAGCAGAUGGAAACCUCUGCGGAAGGGGCUGUACCUGGAAUCCUGUUGCUUGUGUACACACUCCUUGUUGGCUAGUGGAGGACAUGGGAUGUGGCUGAGUAAACAGACUGUCUCACAAGAGCACUUGCCUGCUUUGGGCACCAAGCUGCCUUCUGAGUCUCAGGAGAUGAUGCCACAGCAUCAUUCUGAAUCCAGGAGCAUAGUACAGUUAUAUUCAUGAGGUGGCUCAGCUCCUGGUCUAGGAGAUGGAGUGGUCUUGUGUUGAAGUUGAAAGAGCCCAGAGCCGAAUGCUUCCAAAGUCUUGAAGCAGUUUGAAGCUGAAUUUUACACACAGGAGCACUGUGUUUAGCUGUAGGUAGGAAAAAAAGCACCCCUAAAAGCAAACCAUGCAGAGUGCCCAGCUGGUUUAGAUGGGGGCAGAGGAAGAGGGAAAAGCAAAGGAUUUACUGUUCUAAUGAGGCAGAAACUCCUCGUUCAGCUCUGAUCAGAACCCUUCUGUGUUUCCAGUUGGCAACUCAGUCAAGAGUGGGAGUUGAAAGCCCAUUUCCCAGCCCACCAGCUGCGUUGUGUCAUAAAAGGCAAAGCAGAUCAUAGCGUAUGCAGCUCUCGUAGUGGAGCCCAAAUUUGGGGUGGUGCAGAAUGCUAAGUCCCGUGUUUCUUAACGGAGCCAGCGUGGGCUGCAUGGCUUAGGGUGUUGAUGUACAAAUGAUGUUUCUUUGUCACCCCUGACCGUGGAAGAACCUGAAUGAGUGAGAUGGGGUUUUGGAAGGCUUCUCUGCAAGAAAACAAGUGAUAAGGGGUUUAGCACCUCUGGGAGCAAUGGGGCCACCUCUGGUAGGGGGAAAGGGGCAGUUGUUUCGAGGUGAGCAAGAACACAAAGUGAUUCGAGGCUGGAACUUACCAUGGCUGAAAAUGAGAAAGCAGAAUGCUCCCUGUGUUACCAUCCUGUCAUUACCCAAGCAGAUGCUUACUUAAAGGGAAAGAUGAAACCCUGUAUUUCAAGUUGAUGGGGGAAUUCCUGUGGGUCCUUAAAAUUCACCAUUAGCUGCCUCAUUAGUUUCUUGCUUCCUCCAAACUGCCCCCCUUGCCCUGCCACUGUUCAUCUGCAGGAGCACAGCAGUCCUGGCUCUAGCUUCAGUGCUUCAAUAUAAACUUUAAAGAGUGCAGCUGCGUCUCUCUCAGCCUUCCCAGUUCCCCAUGGGGUUCUCCUAUUCUGCUCACGUCCAACCUGGCUUUCCUUGCACGUAAUUCCUUGCUCUUCUCAUUAGCAAACCUCAGAGUGCUUCACAUCGGCUCUUCCCGGCCUCCUGAUGGGCACUCCGGAGGAUGGGGAGGUUUGGCAAAGCAAAGUGACUUUCCAAAGGUUGGUGCCACAGCACCCUGUCCUGUGGGAGGACAUCAGCAUCACAAGGGAAAAGGCAGGAUCUUAGGAAAGGGGGUGUUUCUUCACCCCAGCUCCAAGUGUGUUCUGGGGUGUCACUCACUCCCACGCUCCCAAGCAUGAGUUUGGCUUGUCUGGCAACGGGGGUGUGACCCGGGAUGAAGGACACAGUCAUCACCACAUCCCUGCUGUUUGUCUCAUAGUCUUCCUGACUUCCGAUGAUGAAUAGAUUGGGGCAGUAUUUGGCUUCGCUAGGAGCGGCCCUUUGCUAUUCUGGUAGCAGGAAAAGGAAGAGAGCUGGCACACAAGAUGCACUGCAGCCUUGCUGCAUCCUCCUGGUGGCAGAGGGGGGUCUUUUCCUGGCAAGUGGUUCCUGCAGCCUUGUUGAUAUUGGGGCAGGACUUUCUGGCCUCCGCCUUUUUCUGUUUAGUGACUGGGAGCGGUAGUUCUUUGUUAUCUGUCUCUGUACCCUUGCCUGCUGUUUGCUUCUUCAGUGCACGUUACCUGCAUUCUUCUUUGCCUCGUAUCAACCUUAAUAUUCCUCUUGCAUAUGUGGGAUAAGUUUUUUGCAAGCCUUUGGCCAGCUGCACUUUUGCUGAAGAGCCUCAAUGUGAGCAAAGCCAUCAGACUCCCACCUUCCCCUUACAGAAGAAGGGGGGCAAUAAGACAGAAGGACCAAAACCCCCAGCAAACCCUGCACAAACCCAGGUGCUGAGGAGCUUGGGGUCCUUUAUAAGGCGGUUGUAGGAGGAGUCCCGCCCCUCUGCCCCCAUCUAUUGGCUCGGAGCGGCAGCGCUGCAGUUGCCAGGCUCGCAAGCCGCGGCUCG